UCAGACGAUGCGUCAUGCAUAUCAAUAAGCGGAGGAAAAGAAACUAACAAGGAUUCCCUCAGUAACGGCGAGUGAAGCGGGAAGAGCUCAAAUUUGAAAUCUUGAAAGGUUCACCUUUCACGAAUUGUAGUUUAAAGAAGUGUUUUCUGUUACGAUUUGGUAAUAAGUUCUUUGGAAUAGGACAUCACAGAGGGUGAGAAUCCCGUCUAUGAUUGCGAUUUGUAGCUUUGUGAUACACUUUCAAUGAGUCGGGUUGUUUGGGAAUGCAGCCCAAAACGGGAGGUAAAUUUCUUCUAAGGCUAAAUAUUGGCGAGAGACCGAUAGCGAACAAGUACCGUGAGGGAAAGAUGAAAAGAACUUUGAAAAGAGAGUUAAAUAGUACGUGAAAUUGUCAAAAGGGAAGCGUUUAACACCAGUGUUGUUUUCUGAAAAUCAACCUCUGUUAGCUUUAUGCAUGUUUGUUAGACCUAAUCAGCUAUCUUGCAUGUUCUAUUGUUUGCAGUGGUGCACUUUUCAGUUUACAGGUCAACAUCAGUUUUUUUUACCGUAAAAAAGUUAAAGAAAGGUAGCUCAUGGCUCCGGUCGUGAGUGUUAUAGUCUUUUUCCUAUGCGGUAGGAGAGACUGAGGUCUGCAGUGUAGGCUAUUUGGCUAGAUACUCAGGUGCUAUGUGAUACCAUUUCAUAAACAACUUGUUGAUUAUGUUUUGUCUAUUGCAUACUCGCUUGUACUAUCAUACCUACGCUUAGGAUGUUGACUGAUAUGUAGUCGUA
rnacentral:rRNA from 1 species